rnacentral:rRNA from 1 species
CCUACGGGUGGCAGCAGUGAGGAAUAUUGGUCAAUGGACGAGAGUCUGAACCAGCCAAGUAGCGUGAAGGAUGACUGCCCUAUGGGUUGUAAACUUCUUUUAUAUGGGAAUAAAACGUUCCAUGUGUGGGAUUUUGUAUGUACCAUAUGAAUAAGGAUCGGCUAACUCCGUGCCAGCAGCCGCGGUAAUACGGAGGAUCCGAGCGUUAUCCGGAUUUAUUGGGUUUAAAGGGAGCGUAGGUGGAUUGUUAAGUCAGUUGUGAAAGUUUGCGGCUCAACCGUAAAAUUGCAGUUGAAACUGGCAGUCUUGAGUACAGUAGAGGUGGGCGGAAUUCGUGGUGUAGCGGUGAAAUGCGUAGAUAUCACGAAGAACUCCGAUUGCGAAGGCAGUUCACUGGACUGCAACUGACACUGAGGCUCGAAAGUGUGGGUAUCAAACAGGAUUAGAUACCCGAGUAGUC